rnacentral:ncRNA from 1 species
AAUAACAUGUUGAUGAGAAGAGUAGUCAGGUUAUACCUUUGACAGGGAGCCGUGGGGAGUGUAAAGCGGUAAGGUAGCGCCUGAUGAAGAUGAACUCGGAAUGCCCAGUUGCGGUCGCAAGGCUGUACUGGCGGGACUGGCCGAUACUCCAGUGAGUCAAUAAUGACUUGAUGAGUUUAACGGGGUGACCCGUAAUUGAACUUGGGUGGUAACACGCGACCGGCGUCCCUUGA